GACAGAGGCCUCAAGCGUUUAGGCGGAAUCACUGGGCUUAAAGCGUGUGUAGGCGGAUCGUUAAGUGUCUUGUGAAAUCCCACGGCUCACCCGUGGAACGGCUGGGCAUACUGGCGAUCUUGGGCCAACUAGGGGCAACUGGAACAAGCGGUGGAGCGGUGAAAUGCGUAGAUAUCGCUUGGAACGCCAAAGGUGAAAACAGGUUGCUGGGGUUGUGCCGACGC
rnacentral:rRNA from 1 species